GAAUUUGUCAAUACUUGUCUGUUUUCCUUUAUAUCUGAUGCAUUUGCCUGGCAAUUUCUCACAGGCUUGGAAACAAUAAAAUUUUCAUUUUGUAUGAGUUUUAUUUUUGAGAUCUACAGAUGUUGCUCGUAAACAAUUAAGUCUUCUUCAUCUUGUUCUUCGUCUUCUUAAUUAAAAUACCCUACUCCAAACAAUCACUAGAAACACUAGUGCAUUAUUAGAAAGAGUAUAAAGUUAACUCUAAAGUCUUAAUGCUCAUUUUUGUGAAAUAAAUCUUUUGCUUAUAUCUAGCAACCUUUUCUGGUUACUUCUCAAUUUGGAACCUAGCUCUUUUUCUAUUUUCAUA
rnacentral:misc_RNA from 1 species